UACGGAGGGUGCGAGCGUUGUCCGGAAUCACUGGGCGUAAAGGGCGCGUAGGCGGCGCGAGGAGUCGGGGGUGAAAGUCCGGGGCUCAACCCCGGAUCGGCCUUCGAUACUCUCGCGCUGGAGCACAGUAGAGGCGGGUGGAAUUCCGGGUGUAGCGGUGGAAUGCGUAGAGAUCGGGAGGAACACCUGUGGCGAAGGCGGCCGACUGGGCCGACCCUGACGCUGAGGCGCGAAGGCGUGGGGAGCGAACGGG
rnacentral:rRNA from 1 species